CGUGCUUAACACAUGCAAGUCGAACGAUGAACUUGGAGCUUGUUCUGGGGGAUUAGUGGCGAACGGGUGAGUAACACGUGAGUAACCUGCCCUGGAUUCUGGGAUAAGCGUUGGAAACGACGUCUAAUCCCGGAUAGGACCUCGAACCGCAUGGUUUGGGGUGGAAAGUUUUCGGUCUGGGAUGGACUCGCGGCCUAUCAGCUUGUUGGUGAGGUAAUGGCUCACCAAGGCGUCGACGGGUAGCCGGCCUGAGAGGGUGACCGGCCACACUGGGACUGAGACACGGCCCAGACUCCUACGGGAGGCAGCAGUGGGGAAUAUUGCACAAUGGGCGCAAGCCUGAUGCAGCAACGCCGCGUGCGGGAUGACGGCCUUCGGGUUGUAAACCGCUUUUAGUAGGGAAGAAGGGCUUCGGCUUGACGGUACCUGCAGAAAAAGGACCGGCUAACUACGUGCCAGCAGCCGCGGUAAUACGUAGGGUCCGAGCGUUGUCCGGAAUUAUUGGGCGUAAAGAGCUCGUAGGCGGUUUGUCGCGUCUGCUGUGAAAUCUGGAGGCUCAACCUCCAGCCUGCAGUGGGUACGGGCAGACUAGAGUGCGGUAGGGGAGAAUGGAAUUCCUGGUGUAGCGGUGGAAUGCGCAGAUAUCAGGAGGAACACCGAUGGCGAAGGCAGUUCUCUGGGCCGUAACUGACGCUGAGGAGCGAAAGCGUGGGGAGCGAACAGGAUUAGAUACCCUGGUAGUCCACGCCGUAAACGUUGGGCGCUAGAUGU
rnacentral:rRNA from 1 species